AACGAACGCUGGCGGCAGGCCUAACACAUGCAAGUCGAACGUGAAGCCACCUUCGGGUGGUGGAAAGUGGCCGACGGGUGAGUAACGCGUGGGACAGUGGCUUUCGGUUCGGAAUAACCCAGGGAAACUUGGGAUAAUACCGGCUAAGACCUUCGGGGGGAAGAUUUAUCGCCGAAAGAUCGGCACGCGUGGGAUUAGCUAGUUGGUAGGGUAAUGCCCGACCAAGGCGACGAUCCGUAGCUGGUCUGAGAGGAUGACCAGCCACGCUGGGACUGAGACACGGCCCAGACUCCUACGGGAGGCAGCAGUGGGGAAUAUUGGACAAUGGGCAAACGCCUGAUCCAGCCAUGCCGCGUGGGUGAAGAAGGCCCUAGGGUUGUAAACCCCUUUCAGCGGGGAAGAUAAUGACGGUACCCGCAGAAGAAGCCCCGGCUAACUCCGUGCCAGCCGCCGCAGUAAAAC
rnacentral:rRNA from 1 species